ACGCUCGACACCUACGGGAGGCAGCAGUGGGAAUAUUGCACAAUGGGGGAAACCCUGAUGCAGCGACGCCGCGUGGAGGAAGAAGGUCUUCGGAUUGUAAACUCCUGUUGUUGGGGAAAAAGAGGAUGGUACCCAACAAGGAAGUGACGGCUAACUACGUGCCAGCAGCCACGGUAAUCUGAGCGGGCUGGCAAGGC
rnacentral:rRNA from 1 species